rnacentral:lncRNA from 1 species
AAUAAAUUCUUUUUUUUCAAAUUAUAAAAUAAUUUUAAUUUAAAACAAUAUUGCCUUGAUUACAUCUAUUAGACUCUAUGAAGAUCUAUCUUAUAUUCUAUGUAUCUCUUCUUAAGCCAUACAAGAUAGUGGAUAUACCAAGAAGAAGAUAAAUGCUACUUCCUUCUAUAAAAGUAUAUAGUAAUCAAAAGUUGAAGGUGGAAGAAGUCUUAGA